GGUCCAGCAGAGAUUUAUCAUUAAGAUUCAGUAGUGUGAGGUGAGUCUCCUCAUUAGGCUUAGUGGGUCAAAGACACCAAUGUUGACCCAUGGCUAAUUAUGUUAGGGUGCUAGAUGUCUUCCUAACCGAACCCUUUAAUUUUUAAUAAAUCAACCCGGUUUAUUUUGCCUACUCACAAAAUAACCUAAAAACAAUUAAGUGAUUAACGGAGUUAUAGCCCACAUAUGUUUUUGCAAAAAAGCCCAAUAAAACCCUACGACGUUCAUCACCCUUGUUCAACCCUAUAUAUUUCAAGCCCUUGCAUCUUCAUCUCUACAAAUACAAUCGCUCUACGUUUGUCUAUCUCUGCCAGCUGUUUAUCAGGUUUUAUCUACUUUUACGAAUUAAUUAUGAAAAGUUUCGAAUUUGUCUGAUUUUUGUGCGUUGAUGAAGCAAUUUGUGGACUAGAGUUUCUGAUCAUGGGCUCUUCUUCCCAUUAUGUUUGACGACAAACCCUUGGCUGUCUGAGUGCAAAUCAUUCUAUUUGAUCUAAAUCGUUGUCGAUAUCUUUACCUAUUUACCACUGAAUCCAGCUUAUCGCAAUUGUUUUUUUAUCUAGAUCUGGAUUAUUUUUUGACAACGAUUUGAGGGUUAUGAUGAUAUACUUUUAAUAUCUUAGCGGAUUUCCGUGAGAUUAAAAUAUAUUUUGAUCUAUGAUCUUAUUGUUACACACACUGAAUCCUCAACAUCUGUCAACUCUGUUCUAGAUUUUUGGAAUUUCUGCUGUCAAUAUAACUGCAUCUUUCGAUGAGCUUCUAUCUUUCACAAUACAAGUCUUUCUGCGUGAAGUUAUUAGAUGAUAUGCAUCCAUUUACCAAUUCUGGGGGAUAAAACAGUUCCUCUCGGUGUAAUGGCUCGGAUGCAAAAUUAAAAUUUGUGGCUAUCCUGAUAAAUGUGUUGUUCAAUGUCAUUUCAUCGUGAAACACCUCAUACAUAACGUGUUUGAAAUGCCUUUUUCAAAAACUGAUUUUCUUUAGAAGCUGUUGUUUUUCACACAAUGAGCAGCUGUUUUACAGGUUCUUGUUCUAAUUGUCCAACUUAUUUAGUUUGUAGUACGAUAUGUGCGAUGAUGAAGCAAUUUGUGGACUAGAGUUUCUGAUCGUGGGCUCUUCUUCCCAUUAAGUUUGACGACAAACCCUUGGCUGUCUGAGUACAAAUCACUGUUGCAAUUUAGCAAAGCUGCAAUUGUAUCAAGAACUACUCCUGCUGACGCUUGUGUAGCGAAAUAGUAGGUAUCGUGUAUACAAUCUCCAAUGUAGCACUUAUGUAAUGAUUUAUGGCAACCUGUUUAUGCCAAACUGUUGGAAUUGAUCGAAGUUAGAAACAUUUAGGCCAUGUUUUUUAAACUUUUUCCUUGUCAUUUAUGUAUCUAUAAAGUGUGUAUUUACAAAAUGUAUUGAAUUUAUAACUUUAUUUGAUAAAGUAUUGUUGAUAUAAAUGUUGUUUUUUACUGUA